CGAGACGAGAACUCAGUGGUUUUGUAAUCAGACAUGAUUUAUAGCCAUGGAAGCAAAAAGUGUUCGGGAACCUUGGGAGGAGGGACUGUGAGGCAGAGGAGAAUUCAUGCAAGAGCUUGCAAACCCUGGACCCAGUGAAUUAAGAGGAGUAGGAUUGGGCCUAGCUGGCGUGGCUCCGUGGUUGAGCAUCAGCCUAUGAACCAGGAGGUCAUGGUUUGAUUCCCGGUUAGGGCACAUGCUGGGUUGCAGGCUCCAUCUGAUCAAUGAUUCUCUCUCUCAUCAUUGAUCUAUCUCUCUCUCCAUCUCCCUUCCUCUCUGAAAUCAAUCUAAAAAGUGUGUGUGUGCGCGUAGUAGGGUUGGAUUUAGAGUAGAAAGUUCUAGAAGAUUUGAGUCUUAACUCUGUCUCUUCAUAUGUAUCUGUCAGGAGGGUCCUACAAACCAAGCCCAGGUUCAGUGGUUUGCUGGGAGGACUCAGGACUCAGCAUAUAGUCGCACUCAUGGUAGUGAUUCUUACAGCGAAGGGAUACAAGGCAAAAAUCAGCUAAGGGAAAAGGUGCUCCACUCUCUCAUGUAUAAAUGAGAAUGGUAACAUCCCUCUCAGAGUUGUCAUUAGAGUAAAAUGACACAUUUGUGUACACACACAUCACUGUACAAUUACUAUCAGUUAUGAGAUUUCUUUACUGUCAAGCCAGUGAAUGUGCCACACACUGAAAACAAAGAGGGGCAAUGAGAAGGGGCACAAAAGGAAACUAAAUUUUUAGACACUUUGCAUAACAGACAGUGCUAGAUACUUUCGACAUGUUUUCACUGAUGUUUACAAAAGUCCAAAAGUAGGUCAGUUUUACACAUUUUCAAGGAAGGAAACGGAGGUUCAGAAAGAAGAAACUUGCCCCAAGUUACAUGCUUCUGACUCUAAAACUUGUGUUCUGUCUACUACAGUAUUCCCCAAGCAGCCUCAUAGGUCUGACUCUGAAACCCUACUACUAACUACUAAGGAAGUGAACACUCUGAAUGCCUUGCAUGCUUUCGGCUGAGGUAAACUUGUACAGCUCAAGCAUAGCUGGAUGUAUUUCCUGUGUCCUGAUCUGAGGUCAUACUAACGUAGCUAAAUGACGAAACCAAAUUUCUUGCUAUCUUUUAUUUAAUAAUCAUAACCUUUAUCCUUCUGUGGUUGGUUGUGUUUCUUAAUGGCACAGUCUUUGGCGGAACUUUGAUCAUGUCAAGAUUUUGUAAUGAAAAAUUUCUUAACGUGAAUAUUUGAAACUGGAAGUAUUUGAACAACUAAAAGCCACUCUGUGUUAUAAGUAUAAUAUAUUAGGAUAAUCUCACCUGGGUGUUCCAAAGUAAAUCCGUUAUCAUUUUUUUUAAAAUAUAUUUUUAUUGAUUUUUUACAGAGAGGAAAGGAGAGGAAUAGAGAGUUAGAAACAUCGAUGAGAGAGAAACAUCAAUCAGCUGCCUCCUGCACACCCCCUACUGGGGAUGUACCCACAACCAAGGUACAUGCCCUUGACCGGAAUCGAACCUGGGACCCUUCAGUCCCCAGGCCGACGCUCUAUCCAGUGGGCCAAACCGGUUAGGGCCCGUUAUCAUUUUUAUAGUCUUAAAAAAAAUGUUUCUAACCCUACCAGAGGACAAACACCUUUGAUUCCUAGGUCUCCCCUCCCAAGCUAAAUUUGAAUAUUGGUCAAAGAAAGAAACUUGGGUCCAUUUAUUUUAAGCAUCUUAAAUGAUGUGUGACCAGUUUUUAGCUGCCAUUGGCUAGAAGGAAAUGUUUUGAGGUGUCUCUAUUUUUAACCUUUAUUUUUUUCUGAACCUAAAAAGCUUUCCUUGAAAUGCAAACUUAAGAAUAUUAUCAGGCAUCUCAAACAGUGAUAUUUUUCUGAUGAAAGGAAAAUGAGCCCUGGCUAGGUGGCUCAGUUGGUUGGAGCUUCAUCCUGUGUACACCAAAAGGUUGAGUGUUUGAUUCCUGGUCAGGGCACAUACCGAGGUUUUGUGUUUGAUCUCCGGUGGGGACUCAUUCGAGAGGCAACCAAUCAAUGUUUCUCUCUCACAUCGAUGUUUCUCCCUCUCUCUUUAAAAAUCAAUAAACAUAUCCUCAGGUGAGGAUACAGAAUAAUAAUAAAUAGCCCUAGCCGGUUGCUCAGUGGUUAGAGAGUCAGCCCGCAGACUGAAGGGUCUUGAGUUCAAUUCCAGUCAAGGUCACAUAACUCGGUUGCAGGGCAUGUGCAGGAGGCAGUCAAUUGAUGUGUCUCUCUCACAUUGAUGUUUCUCUCUCUGUGUCUCUCCCUCUCCCUUCCACUCUCUCUAAAAAUCAAUGGAAAAAAUAUCCUCAGGUUUAACAAAAAUACGUAAGUAAGAUAAUAAAUAAAUAAGGAAAAUUAAAAGUGUUGAACUGAUCAUUCAGUGCUAUUGUGAGAGACUCAUUUGUCUGGCA